UACGAAGGGUGCAAGCGUUACUCGGAAUUACUGGGCGUAAAGCGUGCGCAGGCGGUUAUGUAAGACAGUUGUGAAAUCCCCGGGCUCAACCUGGGAAUUGCAUCUGUGACUGCAUAGCUAGAGUACGGUAGAGGGGGAUGGAAUUCCGCGUGUAGGCAGUGAAAUGCGUAGAUAUGCGGAGGAACACCGAUGGCGAAGGCAAUCCCCUGGACCUGUACUGACGCUCAUGCACGAA
rnacentral:rRNA from 1 species